rnacentral:misc_RNA from 1 species
GAGAGGAAGAUUUGGCGUGCGUUUACACAUAAUUGACGGAUCUCUCCUUCAGAUAGCUGCACCUGCUUGCCCCCUCUCCCGUCCAAUAGCCUCCUGAUUAUAUCAUCCAAAACUCCCUUAUCCAUCAUCCCCUCCAUUGACAUCAUCAUCAUCAUCUUAACCUCCAAAUCAAACCCACAGAAAAUAUAAAAGGUUAUCUAUUGAGAGAGAAAAAGUGGGAAAAGGCGAAAUCUUCAAACCCGAUUAUCGACAAAGAAACCCGAGAAUACAAAAAGCAAUGAAACUGUGAAAUAAAGGAUCAAAAAGAAAAUUUUGUACAGAAAGAGAAAAAGGGUAAG